UAACUACUCCCUCCGUUUCAAAUUACUUGUCGCAGAAAUGAAUGUAUUUAGAACUAAAAUACAUCUAGAUAUAUCCAUAUAUACAUGUGACAAGUAAUUUGAAACGGAGGGAGUAGUUU
rfam:Triticum urartu cultivar G1812 contig682105, whole genome shotgun sequence.